CACUCAGUCUCAAAAGGUCUGUCUGUACGUACCACUCAGUCUCAAAAGGUCUGUCUGUACGUACCACUCAGUCUCAAAAGGUCUGUCUGUACGUACCACUCAGUCUCAAAAGGUCUGUCUGUACGUACCACUCAGUCUCAAAAGGUCUGUCUGUACGUACCACUCAGUCUCAAAAGGUCUGUCUGUACGUACCACUCAGUCUCAAAAGGUCUGUCUGUACGUACCACUCAGUCUCAAAAGGUCUGUCUGUACGUACCACUCAGUCUCAAAAGGUCUGUCUGUACGUACCACUCAGUCUCAAAAGGUCUGUCUGUACGUACCACUCAGUCUCAAAAGGUCUGUCUGUACGUACCACUCCGUCUCAAAAGGUCUGUCUGUACGUACCACUCUGUCUUGUCGGUGCAGAUGAAGAACUGAGAGCCGUUGGUGUUGGGCCCAGCGU